rnacentral:rRNA from 1 species
UGGGGGAUAUUGCACAAUGGGGGAAACCCUGACGCAGCGACGCCGCGUGUAGGAAGACGGUCCUCUGGAUUGUAAACUACUGUCUUCGGGGACGAUAAUGACGGUACCCUGAGAGGAAGCCCCGGCUAACUACGUGCCAGCAGCCGCGGUAAUACGUAGGGGGCGAGCGUUGUCCGGAAUUACUGGGCGUAAAGGGCGCGUAGGCGGCCGAUCAAGUCUGUUGUGAAAGCCCAGCGCUUAACGUUGGACGUGCAAUGGAAACUGGUUGGCUAGAGUAUGGUAGAGGCAAGUGGAAUUCCCAGUGUAGCGGUGAAAUGCACAGAGAUUGGGAGGAACACCAGUGGCGAAGGCGACUUGCUGGGCCAAAACUGACGCUGAGGCGCGAAAGCGUGGGGAGCAAACA